AAAGACUGCAGUUUCGUGCUGUUUAUAUUCAACAUUUGGUCGUUUGUUUUAUUUAAAAAAAUUUCAUGAUUAGUAUUUUUAUUGUUAUUAGGUGAUAAACCAUGAAUAGUACUUUAUAUGUGACUAUUUUCUUAAAAAAAAUUCUUCAUAAAUUUUUUAAAUAAGAUAGGCGGUCAAACGUCGGACACAGAAGCCCACAACUGUAUUUUAA
rnacentral:pre_miRNA from 1 species